GCCGCGGUAAUACGAAGGGACCUAGCGUAAUUCGGAAUUACUGGGCGUAAAGCGCGCGUAGGCGGUUAUGUAAGUUAAUUGUGAAAGCCCAAAGCUCAACUUUGGAAUUGCAAUUAAAACUACUUAGCUAGAGUUUAUCAGAGGAAAGCGGAAUACAUAGUGUAGAGGUGAAAUUCGUAGAUAUUAUGUAGAACACCAGUUGCGAAGGCGGCUUUCUGGGAUAAUACUGACGCUGAGGUGCGAAAGUAUGGGUAGCGAAGAGGAUUAGAUACCCUCGUAGUCCAUACCGUAAACGAUGAUUGUUAGAUGUUGGAAAUUUAUUUUCAGUAUCACAGCUAACGCGUUAAACAAUCCGCCUGGGGAGUACGACCGCAAGGUUAAAACUCAAAUGAAUUGACGGGGACCCGCACAAGCGGUGGAGCAUGUGGUUUAAUUCGAAGCUACGCGCAGAACCUUACCAACACUUGACAUGUCUGUCGCGGAAUUCAGAGAUGAAUUCCUUCGGUUCGGCCGGACAGAACACAGGUGCUGCAUGGCUGUCGUCAGCUCGUGUCGUGAGAUGUUGGGUUAAGUCCCGCAACGAGCGCAACCCCUACUUCUAGUUGCCAUCAGGUUAAGCUGGGCACUCUAGUAGGACUGCCUGUGAUAAGCAGGAGGAAGGUUGGGAUGACGUCAAGUCCUCAUGGCCCUUACGUGUUGGGCUACACACGUGCUACAAUGGCAGUGACAAUGAGAUGCUAAACGGCGACGUUAAGCUAAACUCAAAAACCUGCCUCAGUUCGGAUUGCACUCUGCAACUCGAGUGCAUGAAGCUGGA
rnacentral:rRNA from 1 species